AUGACUGAAUUAUUCACAUAUCGAAUCAAAGUGGUAAGAAGAAAAAAAAGAAGAAGGAAAAAAAGUAAGAAAAAAAGUGGCAAGAAUUAUCCAUUUCUAGCAAAGAGAGAACACCACAAGAUCAUCGGAAGACGGACCAGAGCAGAGCGGAGCGGGGGCAAGCGCUUUUCUCGUUCCUUUCCCCAGUUCCCCCUCCCACGAAUCCUUGCUAUUCUCGUCGCCGUCGAGCUAGAGGCGGAGCAGCGUGUCGUAGCGGCAGGUCAUCUGAUCGGCCUCGGCGGCCGCGGCGUCAAGGGCCCCGUCCUGCGGGGGCGGCAUGUUCAGAUCGAAGGGCAGCGGGGAGCGGGAGGCGGCCGCGUCGUCCCCAUCCUCGCAGAGGAGGACGGAGGACGAGGAGCCGCAGUAGCUGCGGCAGUCCUCCUCCCCCUCCUCGGCCGUGCCAGCUCGGGCGGCGCUGCGGGCCCUGGCGGGGGCGCGGGGCCCGCCGCCGCUCCAGGACUCGACGGUGCUGCUGUGGCUGGACGUGACGGCCGCGGCGGCGGCUGCGUGGCGGAGGAAGGCGGGAAGUUGGUGCGGGCGGUGGGCCCGCGGAGGGAUCGGGCGGCGGAGUCGUAG
rnacentral:rRNA from 1 species